AGCUUAAUCGAUUUCUAAAUAAAUAAGAUCCAUGUCAGCUCGACCGAUUUCUAUAUUAGUUCCGUUGAACUUACUAUAUUCCUCGUUGUCGUGUGUGGACCGCAUCGCUUAUUUAAGGUUACGUGUCGGCCGCAAAUCUGACAUGUAAUUCAGAUCGUUCUCAGCGUCAAUAACAACACCUUGGACACAUGGGUUGCGUUCACAGAUGAAACAGAAGCAGCGCGCCCAAAAAAGCAGGCAGGUGAAAGCCCAACGUAAAGAGAAGACGCAUCCAACCAAAAGGACUCUCAGGAACGCACGUACGACAUUCAGAGCUCGUGUUCGAGGCGCCCUGCUCCAGCCAGACACCUGUAUGGAAUCUAUGACAACACCUUGGACAGAUGGGUUAAACAGUAACCACGUAAUAAAAGCUGUCUUUAGACCAUGCACGCUGAUGUUGAUAGGCUGGUUUGUAGAUAAGCAUCGUGUUUAAUGCACUGAAACCAUACACACACACAAAAUAAAAAAAAAAAGUUAUGUGUUCAGAAUGGCUUCCCUGUCCUCGGUGUGUCCAGAUGCUUUGUUUUUCUUCAGCAUACAUCAUCGACCUGCACCUGCUGUAUUUUCUUUUGAGCUGUGGGAGAAAUGAUUUUCAGUGGUCCCGAGGAACAAAUAGACCGCAAGUGCUGUUCACUCCACACAUGUAAAAAGGUACAAGACUUCGUUGUCGAUUCUAGUGGUUGGUUGUUUGACGCUGAACUGCACCUCCAGUAGAGUAGUAAGUUCGAUUCAAAAUAUAUCGCUUGUAGUAACUGUGCAAUGGU
rnacentral:lncRNA from 7 species